GGCCGCUGUCGGAGGAUCCCCUUUAACCUGCGAGAGAACUUUCACGUUGCUAAAUUGAACCUGUGUCUGGGUCAGUUCCGACGAGCUCCUUUCUCUGUUUCAAAUGUGCAUUGACUUCACCCAGCUGGAGCAAAGCCUGGGACGUGGAGCGGGGUCUGUGGGGCCUUCCAGACUAGGUAAAUGUAGUGACUGAGACUCACCCACACGGUAAACAGCGUCUCAGGACCCCUCCAGCAACCCAAUAACUCGUCCUCCAAUCUGUGGCCAGCUUCCCCUAUCAGUCACCUCUUGGUAUGAGGCGGCGGGAGAGACCUGGACUACGAGUCUUCACUUCUGGGUUCUCGUCCUAGCUUGAUGACACCUCCUGCCUGGCGUUCUCACACAGAUCGUACCAUAAUUGACUGACUGGAAAAUAGACUCAUGGAUCUGACAUCACCAUAAACUAAUGCUUGGAUGAUUCAAGCUGUCAGAGCCCUGGGACUUGAGACUUCCAGAAAAAUUCCAGCCCCAAAGCAGAAGACUUCUAUGGAGAAAGAUGCUAAGCCACAAACAGUUCAGCAUCUGAUCUAGGAACAGAUUCUAGGGACAAGGGAAAGCAAGCAAAGAACAUGAAGGUCUAUUUUGAACAGCACAAGCUCAAGGCAACCAUGACUUGAAGCAGGGGGGCCAGCCAUACUCCUCAAGGACCAUGGAAGCAGCCCUCACUGGCAUUGAAUUCACAUCACUCAGGUCUAAGCCUUCCUGGAUCCUGGAGAAUUCUCUGCACAGAGCCAUGGAUUUCUCUCUCCAGCCUACGGGCUUUGGAUUUAUUUCUGACUUGGGAAAUCCCCAUCCUGCCUUCUGCUUUCAGCCCAGGCCCUGGCUUGGGUAAAACACGAGGAAGCAGGUGACAUCUCAGGACAGAAGGGGCCACGUCAGGGAAGUGUCUUCCAGGGAUUCACACCAGAGCUGGAGAUAUUAUGGGAUAUUAUGGUUGGGAUAUUAUGUUAGAGAAAAUGAAAGCUGGGAGAGCGGGAGGGACCUGCCUCGGGUCUCCAGAAAGUCAGUAAUAGAGCCAAGGUAAGUCCCAGGAUGCCUGGCUCUCAUCACAUCCACUCUAUCUCAGGGCCACCAAAGCCCUACCCCAUCAGAGUCCCCCUAACGUUCCUCCUCAUCUCUCUCUCUACCCCGAGACACUUAGUUCUGCCCAAAAAGAUUCUCAGUGUUCUCCAAAUACAUCAUCUGCUUUUAACUCAGUGCCUUUGCAUGCAAUACGCCUUUUUGUGCAUCCCCUUCUCCCACUUGUCUACUAGGUAAACCCCUACUCAUCCCUCAAGGCCCGUUCAAAUAAAUGUUUCCUUCCUUCAAACAAAGUCUAAACUCAGUUUAUCCAGAAUCCAUUCAUCUCUCUUUCCUCUGUGUUCUUAUAACACUCUCUGUAUACACUGAUUUUAAUAUUUACUACCCUCUUCUAUAAUUGUCUAUAACUGUCUUAGUCCUCACUAGACUGUAUUCUCCUCUAGGAUAGGAAUUAUUUCUGCUUCAUCUCUCUGUCCCCAGGGCCUAUCAAGGUGUCUGGCACUCAAUUGGCACUCAAUAAAUGUCGACCAAAUAGUGGAACAGAUGAAGGAAUAUGAGGCAAAUUUUUAACCUUUUUAAAUUUUAUAUUUUUAAGGAAUAUGAGUCUUUAUUUAUUUCUUUAUUUGGCCAUUCCACGCAGCUUGCAGGAUCUUAGUUCCCCAACCAGGGAUUGAACCCGUGCCCUCGGCAGUGAAAGCAUGGAGUCCUACCACUGGACCACCAGGAAAUUCCCUCAGAGUCUUAGUUUAUUAUCCUUGAAAUGAAAGGAAAAAAAAACUCAAGCACUUGGUAAGGAUAAAUGGUGGAUAAUGAAUGUGGCACCAUCACUGACUCAGUUGCCUGAGCCAAAAAUAGGGUAUCACCCCAAAUUUCCACUUAGCCCUCUUCCUUUUCCCCUUCCCCUGUCACCAUGGCUUUUUUUUUUUUAAUUAAUUUAUUUUAUUUUUGGCUGCGUUGGGUCUUUGUUGCUGUGCUCAGGCUUUUCUCUAGUUGCGGUGAGCAGGGGCUACACUUCGUUGUGGUGCGUGGGCUUCUCAUUGCAGUGGCUUCUCUUGUCAUGGAGCACGGGCUCUAGGUGCGCGGGCUUCAGUAGUUGUGGCAUGAGGGCUCAGUAGUUGUGGCUUGCGGGCUCUAGAGCGCAGGCUCAGUAGUUGUGGCGCACGGACUUAGUUGCUCUGCAGCGUGUGGGAUCUUCCCGGACCAGGGCUCGAACCCGUGUCUGCUGCAUCGGCAGGCAGAUUUUUAACCACUGCACCACCAGGGAAGCUCACCAUGGCUUGUUGAACCUGGCUGAGGAGCUAGGUAAGAAACUCUAGGUUACUGGGGGAUUUCCAUCAGGCCAGAGCUGUCAGGAAGGACGGAGGCAAAGGAUGCCGGACGUAGGGAUCCUGUAACUAAAAGAACCAGAGGGAGUGACUGCUGGGGACACUGAAGGAGCAGAUAAGGGAUGGAGAAGGGAGAAGUCAAGGGUGGGUUCUGGGGACUUAGAAACCACUCAGUCUCUGCCCUCAAGGAGCUCAUGGUCUGCUGAGGAAACAAAUAGGAACAGUUUUAUACAGAACUUCACUGUAGUGCAGCACUACCUCCUUCCUGAUACCCCUUUUUUAUUUGGCUUCCAGGAUACCACCCAACUUACCUUCUUGGCCCUCCUUCUCAUUAGUUUGCUGCUUCUCCUAGUUUUCUCAAAUUCUGAAUUUUGAAGGAAAUGAUUUUCCAUCUACACUCACUCCUUUGGUGGGCUCAUCCACUCUCAUGGCUUUAAACACCAUCCAUGUGCUGAUGACUCUCAAACUGAUAUUUCCAGUCUUGAUCUCUCCCUUGACCUUCAGACCUAUAUGCCCUCCUGCUCCCUCAACAACCCUACUCUAAUGGACAUCUCAAAGCCAACACACUCAAAAAUGAGCUCCAGAUAUUUCCCCCCAAAACCAGCACCUCCCUUGUCUUUCCAGCUGGUCUCCCUGCUUCUGCCACUGACCCCACUGAAUUUUUCUUCAUAAAACAGCCAGAGUAACUCUGUUAAAAUCUAAAUCAGAUUGUGUGGAUCCUCUGCUCAUAACCCUUCACGGGAUCCUCAACAUGGGGUAAAUGGGGUAAAACCAAAGUCCUUAUUAUCGUGAUCUGCGAAGCUGUACUCUCUGGCUCCUAUCUCUAUCCUCGUCUUCUCCCAUUCUCCCCACAGAACACUAUGCUCCAGCCAUUCCAGGCCCUUUGCACUUGUUCCUUCCUGAUGUUCUUCCCUAAAUAUCAGAAUAGUGCCCCCUUUCUUUUUUCUUCAGAUCUUUUACUCAAAGGUCACCUUCCCAGUAAGGUCUUCCUUGGCCCCCUAACUGAAAGGAAACGUCUCCCCUACCAACAUUUUAUUUCCACUUCUCUGACUUAUUUUUUCUCCUCAAUAUUUACUGCAGUCUUAAAACUAUA